rnacentral:lncRNA from 1 species
GGCUCGGGGGACUUCGGGUUCGACAUCAGAAGGGACGUCGACGAUAAUGGCCACUUGAGCAGGCACGAUCGAGCUUGUCCCUUCUGUCCUGGCUUUCUUCACCAGCCCUGAAGUCGAGGCAUCUUUUCUCUUGUGGGUCUUGAGACCCUGGGCUAACCUCCGGGCCACGCCUGCGUCCAUGUCUGCAAUAAAAGAAGAUCAACACG